rnacentral:rRNA from 1 species
UACAGAGGUCCCAAGCGUUGUUCGGAUUCACUGGGCGUAAAGGGUGCGCAGGUGGGUUUGCAAGUCGAUGUGAAAGCCCCGGGCUUAACCCGGGAAUGGCAUUGGAUACUGCAGAUCUGGAGGAUCGGAGGGGGGACUGGAAUUCUUGGUGUAGCAGUGAAAUGCGUAGAUAUCAAGAGGAACACCAGUGGCGAAGGCGGCUCCUGGACCAAUACUGACGAUCAGGUGCGAAAGCGUGGGGAGCAAACAGG